rnacentral:rRNA from 1 species
AGACCCGAAACCCGGUGAUCUAGCCAUGGGCAGGUUGAAGGUUGGGUAACACUAACUGGAGGACCGAACCGACUAAUGUUGAAAAAUUAGCGGAUGACCUGUGGCUGGGGGUGAAAGGCCAAUCAAACCGGGAGAUAGCUGGUUCUCCCCGAAAGCUAUUUAGGUAGCGCCUCGUGAAUUCAUCUCCGGGGGUAGAGCACUGUUUCGGCUAGGGGGCCAUCCCGGCUUACCAACCCGAUGCAAACUGCGAAUACCGGAGAAUGUUAUCACGGGAGACACACGGCGGGUGCUAACGUCCGUCGUGAAGAGGGAAACAACCCAGACCGCCAGCUAAGGUCCCAAAGUCAUGGUUAAGUGGGAAACGAUGUGGGAAGGCCCAGACAGCCAGGAUGUUGGCUUAGAAGCAGCCAUCAUUUAAAGAAAGCGUAAUAGCUCACUGGUCGAGUCGGCCUGCGCGGAAGAUGUAACGGGGCUAAACCAUGCACCGAAGCUGCGGCAGCGACACUGUGUGUUGUUGGGUAGGGGAGCGUUCUGUAAGCCUGUGAAGGUGUGUCGUGAGGCAUGCUGGAGGUAUCAGAAGUGCGAAUGCUGACAUAAGUAACGAUAAAGCGGGUGAAAAGCCCGCUCGCCGGAAGACCAAGGGUUCCUGUCCAACGUUAAUCGGGGCAGGGUGAGUCGACCCCUAAGGCGAGGCCGAAAGGCGUAGUCGAUGGGAAACGGGUUAAUAUUCCCGUACUUGGUGUUACUGCGAAGGGGGGACGGAGAAGGCUAUGUUGGCCGGGCGACGGUUGUCCCGGUUUAAGCGUGUAGGUGUGUGUUCCAGGUAAAUCCGGUUCACUUUAACACUGAGGCGUGACGACGAGGCACUACGGUGCUGAAGCAACAAAUGCCCUGCUUCCAGGAAAAGCCUCUAAGCAUCAGGUAACAUCAAAUCGUACCCCAAACCGACACAGGUGGUCAGGUAGAGAAUACCAAGGCGCUUGAGAGAACUCGGGUGAAGGAACUAGGCAAAAUGGUGCCGUAACUUCGGGAGAAGGCACGCUGACACGUAGGUGAAGUGAUUUACUCAUGGAGCUGAAGUCAGUCGAAGAUACCAGCUGGCUGCAACUGUUUAUUAAAAACACAGCACUGUGCAAACACGAAAGUGGACGUAUACGGUGUGACGCCUGCCCGGUGCCGGAAGGUUAAUUGAUGGGGUCAGCGCAAGCGAAGCUCCUGAUCGAAGCCCCGGUAAACGGCGGCCGUAACUAUAACGGUCCUAAGGUAGCGAAAUUCCUUGUCGGGUAAGUUCCGACCUGCACGAAUGGCGUAAUGAUGGCCAGGCUGUCUCCACCCGAGACUCAGUGAAAUUGAACUCGCUGUGAAGAUGCAGUGUACCCGCGGCAAGACGGAAAGACCCCGUGAACCUUUACUAUAGCUUGACACUGAACAUUGAGCCUUGAUGUGUAGGAUAGGUGGGAGGCUUUGAAGUGUGGACGCCAGUCUGCAUGGAGCCGACCUUGAAAUACCACCCUUUAAUGUUUGAUGUUCUAACGUGGACCCGUUACCCGGGUUGCGGACAGUGUCUGGUGGGUAGUUUGACUGGGGCGGUCUCCUCCUAAAGAGUAACGGAGGAGCACGAAGGUUGGCUAAUCCUGGUCGGACAUCAGGAGGUUAGUGCAAUGGCAUAAGCCAGCUUGACUGCGAGCGUGACGGCGCGAGCAGGUGCGAAAGCAGGUCAUAGUGAUCCGGUGGUUCUGAAUGGAAGGGCCAUCGCUCAACGGAUAAAAGGUACUCCGGGGAUAACAGGCUGAUACCGCCCAAGAGUUCAUAUCGACGGCGGUGUUUGGCACCUCGAUGUCGGCUCAUCACAUCCUGGGGCUGAAGUAGGUCCCAAGGGUAUGGCUGUUCGCCAUUUAAAGUGGUACGCGAGCUGGGUUUAGAACGUCGUGAGACAGUUCGGUCCCUAUCUGCCGUGGGCGCUGGAGAACUGAGGGGGGCUGCUCCUAGUACGAGAGGACCGGAGUGGACGCAUCACUGGUGUUCGGGUUGUCAUGCCAAUGGCACUGCCCGGUAGCUAAAUGCGGAAGAGAUAAGUGCUGAAAGCAUCUAAGCACGAAACUUGCCCCGAGAUGAGUUCUCCCUGAGACUUAAAGUCUCCU